UGGGCUGCACCAGAAGUAGAUAGCUUAACCUUCGGGAGGGCGUUUACCACGGUGUGGUUCAUGACUGGGGUGAAGUCGUAACAAGGUAGCCCUAGGGGAACCUGGGGCUGGAUCACCUCCUUACUGA
rnacentral:rRNA from 1 species